CUGGUAGUGAGACUUGCGGGUGGGUCCGCAACAGGGACACUACGAGGUUGAGGGAGGUGGCUUUUGGCCACACGAGUAAAGGCAAGGGAUAACACUGUUGAACUUAUUUGAACUGUGAUGCAUGCACUGUAUUUACACUGAAAUGUUAUUGACUUAAUUGUCUGUCACACAGAUUCCUGUGUUUACUUUUAUCUUACUCACUGUACUAUUUUCACUUUCCCCUCCUAUUUCUCUUUCUCUUUGUUGAGAGAAGUGAUUGGUCACACACUUCUCGCCACGCUCCAAUCCGCGGCUACCACGGGUAGGCGGAAUCAGUGACUAGUCUACGUUUUGGGAAGACGUACUUAAAGAGCU